AGGUCGGAGGUUAGAUUCCCCCCUACUGCU
rnacentral:tRNA from 1 species